AUGGGAUGUGUGCUGCGUAAUCAGUGUGCGCUGCGGCAUAGGCUGUGCACCUGGUGCCAGUGAGGGGAUGGGGUGAGGCUGUAUAGUGCCCUAUAUGUGCCAGGCUCUGCACCGUCUCUGUAACAUGUAGUAAUGGAGAUGAAUGGAGUCAUUCUUCCAGCCACUGAUGUGACCCUGCUUCUUGCACGAUGUUCCUUAUUCAAUGUAACCAGCAUCUACCCAGAAUAUAGUUACAUAUAAUUAAGGCUAUUGGCGAUGAUGGUAUUUCUGCUGUAACGUGCAGCCACUGUGCAUGCCAUGCCGGGUGUCAGAGUGCUUACAUAGAGGACAGCCUUCACACCAAUAAGCCAUGUGAGAGGAAGAAGGAAAAGGUUAAGCCGCGGAACACUGAGUGGGAGGGGCAGAGGCUCCUGGCUGGAUGUGCUGCAAUGACAUUGGCGCGGCAGGAGGAGAAGCUUAGCAGGGAGAUAAGGAAGAGGCUGGAUCAGCAUAACCAGCAGCAGCUGAGCAGAGAGCGGAAGGCACACCUUACUUAUCAAUCCUGUGGCCAUGGCCAGGAGACUGAUUACAGCCGCUAGAACUAUCCUCAGCAGGAGAUGCGGAACUGCGCUUCUACCAGAUUCUAACAAAAUGUGUCUGAGUGAUAGGACAUAGCUCCGUCAUGGUGAAACACAUUGGAUGUUAUCUGCUGGUUAGCUGUCCAAUUCAGAUAAGGUCCAUCCAAAGAAGUCUUAAGCAGCAGAAGGCGCACUUCUGGAACACACCACAAAAAAACAUCUGCCAGCAAAGAAAGCAAGGUCUGAUGUCCAGGGCCAACCACAGCAGGCUACCCCGCCAUGAAGAUUAUCUACUGUUUGUUCGGUGCCCCCACUCCAAAUUUUGGACACACCUCCAAGAUGGCAACCACACUCCCCUCAUCUUGAUUCUUCUAGUCCUGGUACCAGCAUCCCUCCGCAACAACAGCAACACAGUGACAUGGAUGACACAAUCAUGUUAGAAAUGCAUCCAGUAAGCGAAGGAAUCAGCCCCCCAGCACCCGUGAGUACUCCCCCACAGCAAAGCACACCACCAACCCAACACAGCCCAACAACACCAGUAACACAAGUCCCUGAUCAAGUGUUCUGGACCAUUUGGGCUAGACAGCAGGCCACUAAUGAAGAUUGCCUGCGUAGGCAGACCCAAAUGUUUGCAAGCCUACCAUCUCACCUCAGACGAAUCAGCAGAAAUCUGAGUAGGCAAAAUGAAACAAACACAAGAAUUGCAAAUACCAUGGAAAUCAUGCGUGCAGACAUUACACAUGUCAUGGGCAACUUACAGCGCAUAAUGGAAGAACAGCACAGACAACAGCAAAGCUAUAUAAACAUUUUAGAAAGCAACCAAAUGAUCAAUGAAUCCAUGUCCAGAAUUGUAGACAAUCAAAAUGCUGCAACACGUGAACUCAAUGCCACCCUCAGUAACCUCAAUGAAACACUCAGAUCCCUGCAGCAACAGCAAACAAGCAGCAGUUCUGGUACGACUACUCCAAAUGUAACGCCAGUGUCAUCACCACCAAGGCGCUCCACCAGAGCACGCCAACACGACAGUGGUAAAGGCAAAGGCCAGGACAAGCAACCACCCAAAUAAACAUAAAAAAACCACACCCAUUUCUUUAAAGAGAAGAGAAAAAAACACUUACCAAGUGUAUGAUUAACAGAAUAUAUAUAACACUUAGCUCCUUGACAAUUUGUACAACAUCAUUAAUUAUAACUGGUACAAACAACAAAAGGAAUUUUGUACACACAUUUCUUUAUCAUCUUUGUAUUUUUUGUUAGCAGGAAACUGUUGUUUGAGCUGCACAUAGAUGUUAGCAUGCAGAAAGCAGACCACUUGAUUUUUUUCUAAUCAUUACUCUUUCUAGAUUCAAAUCAUUCUUUGAGCCUGCAGGCAGACUAAUUGGCAGCCAGGCAGAUUGUCUUAAGCAGGCAGAAAGCAGACCACUUGAUUUUUUUCUAAUCAUUACUCUUUCUAGAUUCAAAUCAUUCUUUGAGCCUGCAGACAGACUAAUUGGCAGCCAGGCAGAUUGUCUUAAGCAGGCAGAAAGCAGACCACUUGAUUUUUUUCUAAUCAUUACUCUUUCUAGAUUCAAAUCAUUAUUUGAGCCUGCAGACAGACUAAUUGGCAGCCAGGCAGAUUGUCUUAAGCAGGCAGAAAGCAGACCACUUGAUUUUUUUCUAAUCAUUACUUUUUCUAGAUUCUAAUCAUUCUUUGAGCCAGAAGACAGACUAAUUGGCAGCCAGGCAGAUUGUCUUAAGCAGGCAGAAAGCAGACCACUUGAUUUUUUUUUCUAAUCAUUACUCUUUCUAGAUUCUAAUCAUUCUUUGAGCCAGUAGACAGACUAAUUGGCAGCCAGGCAGAUUCAUCCAUGACCAAUACAAUUUACAAUGUGAAUUGUAACUGUUUUACAUUUCUUCUCUAGACGAAUUGACAAGAAAAACACAAUUGAGUUGGCUAAAAGUGUCCUAAUAUGUUGGGAGUAAUAUUUAGAUAAUUCAGUCCGAAAAUGACUGACAUUAUUGUUGUGCCAUGUUUGUGUGUGUUAAAAAUAAGUAAUCAGAUUUAAAAACAUGAUGCAGAAACAACAACAUUUGAAAUAUUUUAAAGUUGAACACAAAUGUGUGUAAUAAUGGAUAUAUGUUGUUAAAUGUUUAUUGCCUUACAAAUCUACAAUUUUGUGCCAGCAAACAUAAGGAAAUAAAUUAUUUUCCAUGAGAGAAGUUUGUGUCCCUUUUAUAGGCAUCCUAAUUCAGGUUAGAAUGAUUUGUAAGUGUCAACACAUGUAAACACGGCUGAAAAAAGCAGGUCUAUUUUUUUGCCGCUUUUUUUACCGAUUCGCAAAAAAAUACGACCGCAAUUGAGCACUCAGAGACUAACACCCAAAUACGAAUGUAUAGUGAAUUCCCGUAUUCCAUGAAAUAACAGCCGCGUUUGACCGAUGGUCUAUUCAUUCGUACUUCGGAACUUUGCCAAUCAAACCAUUACGAAUAGUCCAAACACUGCCGAGAUUGGUGCUUAGUGAAUUCCCGGAUUGGGACUUAGAAAAAAAAAACACAAAUCGGACAAACUCGAUUUCUUAGUAAAUAUUGGCCAUGGUUGGAUUCUGAACCUUCCAAAGUCACAUUCGGAACCAACCCAGAGGUUGUCCUUUCUAGGAAUGAUCCUGGACAUGGAAGUGCAAAAGGUGUUUCUUCCGCAGGAAAAGGCGUUGGUGAUACAAACUAUGGUCCGGGAUGACCAACAAAUUGUGUGCGCUUGAUGUGCUAACAAUUUAUUGUUUAUAUGUAAGCUAAAAUAGAUCAAAUGUGUUUGGAUUCAUUGAAUAAUUGAGAAAUUUGCUUUUAAUAAAAAAUCUUUACUGGGUUCAUAUAUAAUUAAAUAACAAUUUAAUGGUAACAAUUAACUGUACAAUAUAAUAAAAUAAAAUGGUAAUAAAGGACACAGAGCUGGAUAUCUAAAGUCCGUUCUGGAGCAGAGCCAGGAUUAGAAUGUAUUUAAUAUCUUUGGUAUUUGAAGCAACAAUGUUAUUCUUUACCAUAAAAGUAGCCGCGUGUUGAUACUAAAUAGCAGGGAGUGCUACAAUUUGUGAGCACACACAUGUGGAUGACAAAGUCCUGCUAUAAGAUGAAUUUGUAGCAGUAUUGUUUCACCUGUUACCGGCGUCCCGGUCCAGGAGACAGUUCAAUAGGUAAUUACCCCAUCCAGCGGGAUUUGUAUGUAAUACCCAAGCUGUAUAAUAAUGUGCGGUGUAUGCUCACCCUGCAUAUAGCUGCACGUUGCCUCUAUUAACAGUCGUGUCAGUGUCCGAUUCCAAUGUGCGGGAUGGAUAGCACACCUUCUCUCCAAUUGGAGACACCCGCACCGAUGGAUCUGCUGUGUAUAGCCGCCGCUUCCAGCUCACUGGCACUGCACGUGCACGAUGACAGAGAGCCAAAUCGACACCACCAAGGCGCUCCACCAGAGCACGCCAACACGACAGUGGUAAAGGCAAAGGCCAGGACAAGCAACCACCCAAAUAAACAUAAAAAAACCACACCCAUUUCUUUAAAGAGAAGAGAAAAAAACACUUACCAAGUGUAUGAUUAACAGAAUAUAUAUAACACUUAGCUCCUUGACAAUUUGUACAACAUCAUUAAUUAUAACUGGUACAAACAACAAAAGGAAUUUUGUACACACAUUUCUUUAUCAUCUUUGUAUUUUUUGUUAGCAGGAAACUGUUGUUUGAGCUGCACAUAGAUGUUAGCAUGCAGAAAGCAGACCACUUGAUUUUUUUCUAAUCAUUACUCUUUCUAGAUUCAAAUCAUUCUUUGAGCCUGCAGGCAGACUAAUUGGCAGCCAGGCAGAUUGUCUUAAGCAGGCAGAAAGCAGACCACUUGAUUUUUUUCUAAUCAUUACUCUUUCUAGAUUCAAAUCAUUCUUUGAGCCUGCAGACAGACUAAUUGGCAGCCAGGCAGAUUGUCUUAAGAAGGCAGUAAGCAGACCACUUGAUUUUUUUCUAAUCAUUACUCUUUCUAGAUUCAAAUCAUUCUUUGAGCCUGCAGACAGACUAAUUGGCAGCCAGGCAGAUUGUCUUAAGCAGGCAGAAAGCAGACCACUUGAUUUUUUUCUAAUCAUUACUUUUUCUAGAUUCUAAUCAUUCUUUGAGCCAGAAGACAGACUAAUUGGCAGCCAGGCAGAUUGUCUUAAGCAGGCAGAAAGCAGACCACUUGAUUUUUUUUUUCUAAUCAUUACUCUUUCUAGAUUCUAAUCAUUCUUUGAGCCAGUAGACAGACUAAUUGGCAGCCAGGCAGAUUCAUCCAUGACCAAUACAAUUUACAAUGUGAAUUGUAACUGUUUUACAUUUCUUCUCUAGACGAAUUGACAAGAAAAACACAAUUGAGUUGGCUAAAAGUGUCCUAAUAUGUUGGGAGUAAUAUUUAGAUAAUUCAGUCCGAAAAUGACUGACAUUAUUGUUGUGCCAUGUUUGUGUGUGUUAAAAAUAAGUAAUCAGAUUUAAAAACAUGAUGCAGAAACAACAACAUUUGAAAUAUUUUAAAGUUGAACACAAAUGUGUGUAAUAAUGGAUAUAUGUUGUUAAAUGUUUAUUGCCUUACAAAUCUACAAUUUUGUGCCAGCAAACAUAAGGAAAUAAAUUAUUUUCCAUGAGAGAAGUUUGUGUCCCUUUUAUAGGCAUCCUAA